rnacentral:misc_RNA from 1 species
CCCUUGUUGUAAGCAUUAAAAAAAAAGAAGCAAUGUAUGAAUUAAAAAACGUUGAUGCCAAUAUAUGAAUUAAAUGAAAGAACAAACACAAUCUCGCAAUCUUAGAAGUUCACAACAAAUGCAAUCACAGUUGCUCGUUGCGCCAUACUAUCCUACUAUAUAUACACAUACAGCUGAUUCUUACCCCUAAAUUUCCUAAUUUCUACAUCAUCUGAGACUCUGUGCGCCGCCGGAUUUUUUUUUU